AUUGAACGCUGGCGGCAUGCUUUACACAUGCAAGUCGAACGGCAGCGCGGGCUUCGGCCUGGCGGCGAGUGGCGAACGGGUGAGUAAUACAUCGGAACGUGCCCAGUAGUGGGGGAUAGCUCGGCGAAAGCCGGAUUACUACCGCAUACGACCUGAGGGUGAAAGCGGGGGGUCUUCGGACAUCGCGCUAUUGGAGCGGCCGAUGGCAGAUUAGCUAGUUGGUGGGGUAAAGGCCUACCAAGGCGACGAUCUGUAGCUGGUCUGAGAGGACGACCAGCCACACUGGGACUGAGACACGGCCCAGACUCCUACGGGAGGCAGCAGUGGUGAAUUUUGGACAAUGGGCGAAAGCCUGAUCCAGCAAUGCCGCGUGUGUGAUGAAGGCCUUCGGGUUGUAAAGCACUUUUGGCGGGAACGAAAAGGACUGUGCCAAUACCACGGUUCGAUGACGGUACCCGCAGAAUAAGCACCGGCUAACUACGUG
rnacentral:rRNA from 1 species